rnacentral:rRNA from 1 species
CAGCAGCCGCGGUAAUACGAAGGGGGCUAGCGUUGCUCGGAAUGACUGGGCGUAAAGGCGCGUAGGCGGCGAUCAAAGUCAGGCGUGAAAUUCCUGGGCUCAACCUGGGGGCUGCGCUUGAUACUUGGUUGCUUGAGUGGGGAAGAGGGUCGUGGAAUUCCCAGUGUAGAGGUGAAAUUCGUAGAUAUUGGGAAGAACACCGGUGGCGAAGGCGGCGACCUGGUCCUUGACUGACGCUGAGGCGCGAAAGCGUGGGGAGCAAACAGGAUUAGAUACCCCGGUAGUCCCUGUCUCUUAUACA